rnacentral:tRNA from 1 species
AGCUCAGUUGGUAGAGCAGUUGGCUUUUAACCAAUUUGUCGAAGGUUCAAAUCC